rnacentral:misc_RNA from 1 species
GAUGAAGAACGCAGCGAAAUGCGAUAAGUAAUGCGAAUUGCAGAAUUCAGUGAAUCAUCGAAUCUUUGAACGCACAUUGCGCCCCUUGGUAUUCCGGGGGGCAUGCCUGUUCGAGCGUCAUUAUAACCCCUCAAGCUCAGCUUGGUGUUGGGGCCUGCCGACUGGCAGCCCUUAAAAUCAGUGGCGGCGCCAUCUGGCUCUAAGCGUAGUAAUUUCUCUCGCUAUAGAGUCCCGGUGGAUGCUUGCCAGCAACCCCCAACUUUCUAUGGUUGACCUCGGAUCAGGUAGGGAUACCCGCUGAACUUAAGCAUAUCAAUAAGCGGAGGA